rnacentral:misc_RNA from 1 species
GUCAGGAUUUGAGAAAUUGUAUGCAUAACAUCAACUUGUACAAUGUGGAAACAAGAAACAAAAGCAGAAUGAUCUUACCCUUUUAAGGAGUCGAACGUGAGCCCGACGGUGUACUUAGCCUCUUCAAGAGCCCAAUUAAACCUCUGUAUCUCCUCUGCGGAACACAGUCCCUUGUUCGUAAUGUGAAGUUGUGAUGGUUUAAUGUCGCAGAAGAUAGGAAUAACCUUCUUCUUGGACUCCAUUAUACGAGCUAGCUCAUGAAGGCAGAAGUAUGACUCACAAUAACGGGGAGAGAACACAGCUACACCUACCUUACAUUGCCUAAUUGCUCCAUUGAUACAAACAACUUAUCACCUGGCUUCAUGUUCUUCUUGUCCAAGAAAGGACGUAUGUUUAACCGGGAAAGGUGAUCAUAGAGUAACGUAACUACAUUGCGUUUUGUGUCGAUACUUCUAUGGUUAAUGAACACAUCAUAAUGUUUAAUAGCCCGAUUCAUCAUCUGGGUUCGAGGAUAUUGACUGAGAAUUUGGCGUUGGAAUUUAACGAUGGACGAGCAAUGCAUGGUUUCUAACAAAAAAAAGGCAAGCAGAAAAAUCCCUAGAUAGCUUAGCUACUGUUGUUCGUUUGCUGUUUUGUUUGAUAUUGUGAAGUGUAAUAUUGCGAGAGAAGGAAGAAUAGGUAGCCAUGGUUUAUAUCGGGAGAUUGAAGGCUUGAAUAGGUUGUGAAGAAUAAGGAAUAUGCUCAUUUUUACUUCAUGAGUUGAAUUUGAAGGAAGAAAUUUAAUGCAUGUGAAAAGGUUGAUGUUGAACGAUAUCAAGUGAUGGCCGUGUUCUUGAUUUGGAGAGUUUUGAUAUAUAUAUAUAAACUCUAUAAAGAAUUAACACCUUAGACCACAACCUUUAUCGCUUUGAAAUUUUCUUGACCCCUUCAAAUACGUUGCCUUCUCCCUCUCCCUCUCCCU